GCCCGCCACCGCCGCACUCUCCACCAAAUCCCCACUCGGGAUCCUCCCAGAUUCGACCCCCACCAACCAGAGCCCUCCCAUGGCUCCCUUCGAAUCCUCCCUUUCUGGCCGAGGAACCAGCACAGUCGCGCUCGAGCUCUCCCGAGGCCAAGCUCCUCCGACCUCACGACCCCGAAGCCCCGGCGACGACCAGCACCCGACGCCGGCAAGCAGCAGCAACUACCGCAUCCCCGAUUCCCGAGCGACCUCGCUCCCCUGCCGUCUUCGGAACCGCGCCGCUGAGCCGCCCGAGCUCCUUCUUGCCCGCCUCCCUCCAACCAGAGCUCGCUGCGGGAGGAACGCCAUGGCCGCCACACCAUGAAGGCACAUCGGCCCGGAUCCGGCCGGGAACCAGACGAGACCGCGCCUCCCCCGCCUCGGAUCCAGUCGUCCCCGCGCCAAGUCCGCUGCUUCGCCUCCAGCCCUCGUGCACGCGACUCCGCUGCUUCGCCAUCGCCCCGUCAUGGUCUUGUGGCAUGUCCUGCAGCUUGGCGACCUGAUCCGUGCCUCUCCCAGCAGGAUCUGGCCUCAGGCAACUCCCCAGGCUCCAUCCCGUCCCCGCGUCCCCGCGGACCCCGCCGGAAUCCGCGUAGCACCGCCCUUGUCUUCGUCUGCCUGAACCACCGGCGAGCUGUUGCUCUGUAUCUGUCGAGCAGGAGGGACAACGCUCGUGCUCCUAUCGCGCGCCCGGUGGGCCACCCACCGGCCUUGCCAGGCCCAGCAUCCAGUUGGCCCAAUGUGAGCAGCCUCCCCUAGACCCUCUGUGCUCUAUUGGGCCAACAGAAACGGCCCAUUUCAUGUUUUUUUUCCAUAUAACGUUUUUUCCUAUUUUCCAGAAAACUGUUGUUUUACAGAUAGGUCCCUAAACUUCAUGCAUUUAAUAACUUCACAACCGUGCAUCGGAUCUAAAUAAAUUUUAUACGAAA